rnacentral:sRNA from 2 species
GCGCCCGUCCUAGGGGAGUAGUCUCCCGCGAGCGCCCUGCUCGCCCGGCACGCGUCAACACACUUGCUCCGCAGAGCAUGGCGCGUGCGACCCAAGGCCUUCAUAGACAGGCCUGCGGUUUGACAAGACCUAU